AAGUCCUUUAACUUAAGUCCAGAGAGGCUUGGAAGGUUCAUCAAUUUUUGUGUGUGUUUUUAACGCAACCGAUGUUCACCAUCCUUGGCUCACUGGUCAAGGAUUUUUUAUU
rfam:Erysipelothrix larvae strain LV19 chromosome, complete genome.